rnacentral:rRNA from 1 species
UACGGAAGGCAGCAGUGGGGAAUAUUGCACAAUGGGCGCAAGCCUGAUGCAGCCAUGCCGCGUGUAUGAAGAAGGCCUUCGGGUUGUAAAGUACUUUCAGUCGUGAGGAAGGUGUUAAGGUUAAUAACCUUAGCAAUUGACGUUAGCGACAGAAGAAGCACCGGCUAACUCCGUGCCAGCAGCCGCGGUAGUACGGAGGGUGCGAGCGUUAAUCGGAAUUACUGGGCGUAAAGGGCACGCAGGCGGUUAAUUAAGUUGGAUGUGAAAUCCCCGGGCUUAACCUGGGAAUGGCAUUCAAGACUGGUUAGCUAGAGUCUUGUAGAGGGGGUAGAAUUCCAUGUGUAGCGGUGAAAUGCGUAGAGAUGUGGAGGAAUACCGGUGGCGAAGGCGGCCCCUGGACAAAGACUGACGCUCAUGUGCGAAAGCGUGGGGAGCAAAC